AUUGGACAAUGGGGGCAACCCUGAUCCAGCCAUGCCGCGUGUGGGAAGAAGGUCUUCGGAUUGUAAAUCACUUUAAGUUGGGAGGAAGGGCUUUAGGCUAAUACCCUGAAGUUUUGACGUUACCAACAGAAUAAGCACUGGCUCACUCUGUGCUAGCAGCCGCGGUAAGACAGAGGAAGCAAGCGUUAAUCGGAAUUAUUGGGCGUAAAGCGCGCGGUGGUGGUUCGUUAAGUUGGAUGUGAAAUCCCCGGGAUCAACCUGGGAACUGCUUUCAUAACUGCUGAGCUAGAGUACGGUAGAGGGUAGUGGAAUUUCCUGUGUAGCGGUGAAAUGCGUAGAUAUAGGAAGGAACAUCAGUGGCGAAGGCGACCACCUGGGCUAAUACUGACACUGAGGUGCGAAAGCGUGGGGAGCAAAC
rnacentral:rRNA from 1 species